GAGUUUGAUCAUGGCUCAGAUUGAACGCUGGCGGCAGGCCUAACACAUGCAAGUCGGACGGUAACAGGAAGCAGCUUGCUGCUUCGCUGACGAGUGGCGGACGGGUGAGUAAUGUCUGGGAAACUGCCUGAUGGAGGGGGAUAACUACUGGAAACGGUAGCUAAUACCGCAUAAUGUCGCAAGACCAAAGAGGGGGACCUUCGGGCCUCUUGCCAUCAGAUGUGCCCAGAUGGGAUUAGCUAGUAGGUGGGGUAACGGCUCACCUAGGCGACGAUCCCUAGCUGGUCUGAGUGGAUGGCCAGCCACACUGGAACUGAGACACGGUCCAGACUCCCACGGGAGGCAGCAGUGGGGAAUAUUGCACAAUGGGCGCAAGCCUGAUGCAGCCAUGCCGCGUGUAUGAAGAAGGCCUUCGGGUUGUAAAGUACUUUCAGCGGGGAGGAAGGCGAUGUGGUUAAUAACCACGUCGAUUGACGUUACCCGCAGAAGAAGCACCGGCUAACUCCGUGCCAGCAGCCGCGGUAAUACGGAGGGUGCAAGCGUUAAUCGGAAUUACUGGGCGUAAAGCGCACGCAGGCGGUCUGUCAAGUCGGAUGUGAAAUCCCCGGGCUCAACCUGGGAACUGCAUCCGAAACUGGCAGGCUUGAGUCUCGUAGAGGGGGGUAGAAUUCCAGGUGUAGCGGUGAAUGCGUAGAGAUCUGGAGGAAUACCGGUGGCGAAGGCGGCCCCCUGGACGAAGACUGACGCUCAGGUGCGAAAGCGUGGGGAGCAAACAGGAUUAGAUACCCUGGUAGUCCACGCCGUAACGAUGCCGACUUGAGGUUGUGCCCUUGAGGCGUGGCUUCCGGAGCUAACGCGUUAAGUCGACCGCCUGGGGAGUACGGCCGCAAGGUUAAAACUCAAAUGAAUUGACGGGGGCCCGCACAAGCGGUGGAGCAUGUGGUUUAAUUCGAUGCAACGCGAAGAACCUUACCUGGUCUUGACAUCCACAGAGCUUGGCAGAGAUGCCUUGGUGCCUUCGGGAACUGUGAGACAGGUGCUGCAUGGCUGUCGUCAGCUCGUGUUGUGAAAUGUUGGGUUAAGUCCCGCAACGAGCGCAACCCUUAUCCUUUGUUGCCAGCGGUUAGGCCGGGAACUCAAAGGAGACUGCCAGUGAUAAACUGGAGGAAGGUGGGGAUGACGUCAAGUCGUCAUGGCCCUUACGACCAGGGCUACACACGUGCUACAAUGGCGCAUACAAAGAGAAGCGAUCUCGCGAGAGCCAGCGGACCUCAUAAAGUGCGUCGUAGUCCGGAUUGGAGUCUGCAACUCGACUCCAUGAAGUCGGAAUCGCUAGUAAUCGUGAAUCAGAAUGUCACGGUGAAUACGUUCCCGGGCCUUGUACACACCGCCCGUCACACCAUGGGAGUGGGUUGCAAAGGAAGUAGGUAGCUUAACCUUCGGGAGGGCGCUUACCACUUUGUGAUUCAUGACUGGGGUGAAGUCGUAACAAGGUAACCGUA
rnacentral:rRNA from 1 species